rnacentral:rRNA from 1 species
GUCCACGCCCUAAACGAUGUCAACUGGUUGUUGGGUCUUCACUGACUCAGUAACGAAGCUAACGCGUGAAGUUGACCGCCUGGGGAGUACGGCAGCAAGGUUGAAACUCAAAGGAAUUGACGGGGACCAGCACAAGCGGUGGAUGAUGUGGUUUAAUUCGAUGCAACGCGAAAACCUUACCCACCUUUGACAUGUACGGAAUUCGCCAGAGAUGGCUUAGUGCUCGAAAGAGAGCCGUAACACAGGUGCUGCAUGGCUGUCGU